rnacentral:rRNA from 1 species
AGAUUGAACGCUGGCGGCAUGCCUAACACAUGCAAGUCGAACGGGAGUAGCAAUACUCUAGUGGCGGACGGGUGAGGAAUACGUAGGAAUUUGCCCUUAAGUGGGGGAUAACCCGGGGAAACCCGGAUUAAUACCGCAUGACCUCGAAAGAGCAAAGUGGGGGAUCGCAAGACCUCACGCUUUUGGAGAAGCCUACGUCGGAUUAGCUAGUUGGUGAGGUAAUGGCUCACCAAGGCGACGAUCCGUAACUGGUCUGAGAGGAUGAUCAGUCACACCGGAACUGAGACACGGUCCGGACUCCGUACGGGAGGCAGCAGGUGGGAAUAUUGGACAAGUGGGCGCAAGCCUGACUCCAGCAAGUCGCCGUCGGUGUGUACGGAAGAACGGCCGUUCGGGUUAGUAAACGUCUAACGUUUAAGGUUAGGG